rnacentral:rRNA from 1 species
AAACUUUCAACAACGGAUCUCUUGGUUCUGGCAUCGAUGAAGAACGCAGCGAAAUGCGAUAAGUAAUGUGAAUUGCAAAAUUCAGUGAAUCAUCGAAUCUUUGAACGCACAUUGCGCCCGCCAGUAUUCUGGCGGGCAUGCCUGUCCGAGCGUCAUU